UUUCUAAUUUUCUACAACAGAAUAAAUUAUAUAUUAUUUUGGAGUAGAGCUACUAUACUUCUAUGAGUGUAGAGCCUUUCGUACUCAUAAGUUGUUUUGGAUAAUAGAGUUUCUAAAUCGACGAUCCACUCCACUAAAUAUGAUCUGAAGUAUUUGAAACUUCUAAAAUAUAAAUUUUGUAAUUUUUUAAAAUUAUAAUAAAAUCCAUCAAGCGGGUAUAAAAUGAACGGUGAAAAUCGAACAACGUUCUUAAAAUGGAUGAUCGAAUCCUUUAAUUUAAGAUCGAAAUUAUUGACCUUUAUCUAGAUAGUGAAUUAAAUUUUCUAUCAAAAAUUCAACAAACUCCGAUUCUUUUACACCGUUAAACUAGCAAGUAUCUCAUACCGGCCGUAAUAAAUUGUCAAUUAUGAGAUCUUUUGAUUGUAAAGUAAACGAUGUCAAAAAAUUAUAAAAUUUGAUUUCUAUAAGUUUUAAAUAUUCUAGAAAACGUCGAACGGUAUGUAUCGUCGAUUCGGAAGCUCUAUCAUUGAAUACAAUUUAUAAGUACGAAUGCGAUCGUAGUUAUAAGAGUAUAUAGUAGCCGGACUCAUUAUUUUAAAUAUUUUUUAUUUCAUGCAACUAAAUCAACUA
rnacentral:lncRNA from 1 species